CAACAAAAACCAAAGUGCUGACAUUACAGGUGUGAGCCCCUGCCCAUCCCAGAAUUUUGUUUUUAGUUUACGCUAACCGGCUUCCAAAAUUGUUUAGGUCCUCUCAUAUCUCCCUAGUAUACAUCACUCUGAGUGGGUUUUUCUGGAUGGACCCCUGGCUGAUACACUGGCACAGAGAGAGGAUACCCCAUCUGGAGCAGACAAGGCACAAGCCAAGAGGGAUCUGGGAACCAGACCUGAGGGAGGAAAAAAAUGGAUACUCAAGGUGUCCUGGCCAGGGCAGCAGAAGGGCAGGUGGUUGCUCCAUGUUCCUAAGCCCGACUGUGCCUUCCCAUUCGAGCUGGACUUCCCCUCGGGAUUGCGGUUUUCAGAACCUUCUCGACCAGUGUGGAGAAACCAUAGAAACCACACGGAAGGUAAUUUGAGUGGAAAGCAGUGUGUAAUUCACCAUCUUCACCUUCCCAACGUCCUGAUGAUCAAGGAAGCCACUGCUGAGAGGACACCGCUGCCAGCCUGGGCCCUGAGUGGUGGCAGCAGCAAAGAUGGCCCGCAGCCCCACCUUGGACAUGUAGCAAAAGGUCUGCAGGAUGGACCCCCGCAGCUGGUACCCUGUGUGAGGAUCACUACAAAGGAAGCACGAAGGACCCCCUGAAAAUGAAGGUCCUCUUUAGAUUCCAGCAUGAUGCAUCAAACCAUACCAUGGUGUGUCCGGAAUUGGUGGGUUCUUGGUCUCACUGACUUCAAGAAUGAAGCCAUGGACCCCCGCAGUGAG